CAGGCACUCUACCACGGAACUAGAUCUUCAGCCUACAAAUAAAAUUUCAGAAGAGAGACUCCAUGCAGCAUAGCCAGCCUAUGUCAGCUGGUUCAGAGUCGUCAGUCUCAAGAAUGGCCUUUGCUUGGGAAGCAGACAGAGCUGCAGAUAGAACAGAGCCUCUGUCCUGUGGAAACAGACAGAACGCACGAUAUCAUCGUGGAUCAGUCUGAGGCUUCUCUGUGAUGGAAAAGGUCGAAAUGUGAUGGAAUAUGGCAGCAGGCUGGACAGAGGAGACUCUUGGCUUUUACUAGUGUGUACUGAGUUUUAUUUGCAUCAUUCAAAGAAGAGUCAUACAAGAAGAGAAAAGAGAAUCAGUGUAAACCUGUGAAAGGUUUAUUAAUGGGAUCUGUUUUUCACAUGAAGACCAUACAUGGUAGGAACAAAGCAAAAAGAACAGAAAUGAAUACUAAGCAGCUCUUUUCAUUCUUUGGUGAAAGAAUUUCCUACUGCUCUGUGGAUUCUGAGAUUCUCUUUCAUAGUCUACCCAUUUAUCAGCUUG